GGUACUUUGGCCGAGCGGUCUAAGGCGCUGUGUUCAGGUAUGGGUUCUCCCACAUUGCCGUUUCGCAGUCUAGUAAUAGGCGAGGGUUCGAAUCCCUCAGGUAUCA